AGGACAACUCCAGACUUGGGAGGAGAUGACACUUCCAGCAUGUUCAUGCAACAGACAUUUGUUACCUCUACCCCAGUCAGACACAGACAAAGUUUGGGUUCUGCACAAACAAUCAGACAGAAAGACUUCUUUACCAGCCAAGAGUCAACAGAAAUACACUUUGAGGAAACAGAGGAUACCCAACUAAGCUCCCUGGAGUCUGAAAGUGAUUCUGCUGAAACAUGAAUUGCUGUUGUCCUUUCUCAUUGACUCAGACUCAGCUGAUGAGGAAUAUGAACCUGAUAGUGAAGAAUCAGAAUAUGAGGAUGACUCAAUGAUGGACGAACUAGAUGCAAGCUUUCUAGAUGAUCCGGUCAUGGCAGAUGUUGCUUUCAAAGAAGCCCCAGAGAUUGUGACAGGCAGUAGAGUUGG